rnacentral:rRNA from 1 species
UGCCAGCAGCCGCGGUAAUACAGAGGGUGCAAACGUUGCUCGGAAUUAUUGGGCGUAAAGCGCGUGUAGGCGGUCCAUUAAGUUGGUUGUGAAAGCCCUCGGCUCAACCGAGGAAGUGCAACCAAAACUGGUGGACUUGAGUCCCGAAGAGGGUGGCGGAAUGCCCAGUGUAGAGGUGAAAUUCGCAGAUAUUGGGUAGAACACCGGUGGCGAAGGCGGCCGCCUGGGAGGGCACUGACGCUGAGACGCGAAAGCGUGGGGAGCAAACAGGAUUAGAUA